rnacentral:lncRNA from 1 species
GAAAUCAUUAAAACACGACACCCGAAUAGAAUUGUUGCCAAAAUUUAUUAUAAAGCUUUUUGAAACUUGUCGAAGCUAAAAUGCAAUAGUCUCAUUUGUCUCAUAAGAUGCCAAUUGAGGCUUUCAAUUUUUGGUUGAGAGAUGGGAGGGGCACACGAGUUCAUCGACGGUGAUGCUUAGAAAGUGGAGGGAUAGAGAGACAGGGGUGGUUCAGCGUAGGUGGGACUCCGACAUUACGGCUGCUCACUAGUAGCGAGGUAGCUUCGCUAGCUCGGGGUUGAUGGUAGUUGAGGGUUUCAGAGUAGGUUCGAGCGGCUAGUCACUCCACCAACAUGAUUCCGCGAAGGCUAUGGUGGUGGCAUGGAUUUGGGGGCUGGUGGACGAAUGGAGCAGCUGCAGCAUCGGGUUGCAGGCAUCACCGACUACAUGAUUGUUGGUGUUCAUGGCAGCAGAAGCAGCGACUAUUGAUGGGGUUUUAGGCAAUAUUUUUUUGGUAGUUUUUUUGGUUGUUCAAGCGGGGGUUCGUCGGUGAUGGAGAAAGAAGGUACCGACAGGAGAGUUUUAAGAGAAGAGAAAAGGUAGAGAGAGAGAGAAG